rnacentral:rRNA from 1 species
GGACGAGAAGCUUGCUUCUCUGAUGUUAGCGGCGGACGGGUGAGUAACACGUGGAUAACCUACCUAUAAGACUGGGAUAACUUCGGGAAACCGGAGCUAAUACCGGAUAAUAUUUUGAACCGCAUGGUUCAAAAGUGAAAGACGGUCUUGCUGUCACUUAUAGAUGGAUCCGCGCUGCAUUAGCUAGUUGGUAAGGUAACGGCUUACCAAGGCAACGAUGCAUAGCCGACCUGAGAGGGUGAUCGGCCACACUGGAACUGAGACACGGUCCAGACUCCUACGGGAGGCAGCAGUAGGGAAUCUUCCGCAAUGGGCGAAAGCCUGACGGAGCAACGCCGCGUGAGUGAUGAAGGUCUUCGGAUCGUAAAACUCUGUUAUUAGGGAAGAACAUAUGUGUAAGUAACUGUGCACAUCUUGACGGUACCUAAUCAGAAAGCCAC